rnacentral:rRNA from 1 species
GACGAACCGUGCGAACGUUGUUCGGAAUCACUGGGCUUAAAGGGCGCGUAGGCGGCGUGUUAAGUCACUUGUGAAAUCUCUAAGCUUAACUUAGAACGGUCAAGUGAUACUGAUGUGCUAGAGUGCAGAAGGGGCAACCGGAAUUCUUGGUGUAGCGGUGAAAUGCGUAGAUAUCAAGAGGAACACCUGAGGUGAAGACGGGUUGCUGGGCUGACACUGACGCUGAGGCGCGAAAGCUAGGGUAGCAAACGGG